rnacentral:lncRNA from 1 species
UAGAAAUGUCUAAGAGGAUGAAAAUGUUCCAGUACGCCAAAUAAUAGCCCUUGUGGCCAUUGAGCGUUUGAACAGAGGAAGUAACUAUUGCAUUUGCUUUAUUUAAGUUAGCCCCAGCCAUACAUGAAUGCUAGCUUUUUCUACUGGACAGCACAGAUACAGACAAAUCCUAUCAUCAGGACAGGCAGCAAAGAAAUUCUAUUACUUACUUAGUUGGAUUUUUUUUUAAAGACAAGUUUCUACCAUAGGUAAACUCGUGAUCCUCCUGCCUCUGUAUCCUGAACACACUGCCAUGCCUAAGUUUUAAUUGUAUUUGAAUCAGUCAGUUAACUGAUUAAAUUAUUUAUUUGUUUCUGUGUAUGUGCUGGAAACACAAAGAACUACCUCAGCACAAACGUGCUAUUAGGUGAAUAAUCUGUUCACGAGGGUGUACAGCAGACCAAAACCUAGAUAAUAGUUUAAGUCGACAAGUGUGAUGGGUUCCCCUUAUCUAUGGGAGAAUUGUUCAAAGAAACCCAGUGGAUGAUUGAAACUACUCACAUGAUUGGUAGUGUUGUAGUUUUCCUACACAUUACUUGCGAUAAAAUUUUAAUUUAUAAGAUAGACACAAUUAAUAUUUUAUCAACAAUGCCUGAACAAUUAUAGGUUCUCUCAAAAAUGUUAAUGUUUUUCCAGCCUGUCCUUAACACAUCUGAAAAAAAAAAAAACCAGUCACUACUAUAUUACAUAAACAAGGUUUGAGCUUGUUUAUAAACAAGCUCACAUAGGCUGUCAUCUAAAGUCCAUUACCUUAGUAACAGAGACUCCUGCUAAGUGCUUAGCAGGCAGGUAAUAUAUACAGAGUGGAAACACUGGACAGAGAGAUGAUUCAAAACCCUGGUUGAGCACAUCAUCACAUUAUGCAAAACAGCAUGAGGUGUAAAACUUACAAAUCAUUCCUUUCUGGAAUUUUCCACUUACUCUCCUCAGAUCAUGAGUGACUGUAACUGAAACCCCCAAGGGAAGACUGAAGAUAAACGCUAGCUACUGUUCUGGCUGUUGGUAGGUGCCAAAAACAUGGCGGCAGGCACUAAUAUCUGAACCUGUGUCAUUCCCGGUAGUAGAAACAGUGUCUGGAUAGACUUUAGGCACGAGUCACAGGGCAUCUUGAGACACCAGGAAACCAGUAUGCUGAGGUGAGGGUGUGUGAAUAGUGGCUUGCUCUUUCUGACAAGCAGCUAAGAGAAGUCACACGGCCUGGGGAGACGGCUCAGUGGGUAAAGCACUCGCUGUGCAAAUCUAGGGACUGGGGUUUGGAUUCUCGGGAUCGAUGUGAAUACAGGCAGGUUGGGGUUCACCUUUAAUGCCAGUGUUUGUAAUUCAGAGACAGGGAGUCAGGUAGACAAACCUAUCAGCAAGUUCUGAAUUCAUUGAGAGGCCAUGCCUAGAAGAGAGACACGGACACAUGCCAUAAAAAAUAACAACGUGCAGUGUGCAUACUGUGUGUCCAACUCCAGUCGUGCUGAGUUCAGCUUCGUGAUGGAACCUUCUGGUGAGUUCUCUUUACAACUAGCCUGGGCUAGCUUUGCAAUCCUUGUUUCCCCGUUAACUAGAGCUGUGUGGGAAAGUGUCCCAGGCCCCCUUUACACGAUUGCUUACAGCUCACCCCUCACUUAAUUGGAAGCACCUUGAGGUCAGAGGUCACUUCCGUAGCUGUGUCUUCUUUGCAGAACCAUGGCAGCCUCUUCACCCUUCCUGUGUCCCCACAGCUCAGCCUCAGAGCCAAGGAGUGCCGACCACAGAGCGGUAACUCAGCCGUGAUUAAAUAAGCCGGUGAUGAAAUAAUUUAGUUUAUUCUCUCUUCUUUGACCUUAUAACUUAAUUCCAGCUAAAAGAGCUCCAGGUCUCCAUGAUGCUCUAUCUUUAAAGCAAGAGAAACUAAUUGGGAAAUACCAUUCUCAGGCCUGCUUUCAGGGUUUGCUGCUUGUCAAACUUGGCGGCUAAUCCAAGAUUAGGAUUAUACCCGGACUGGCUUUUGCUGUGACUUCAGGGUAAACUUAGAUAUUCUCCAAAGUGAAGCUCACCUGCAUAUUCUGGAAGCCAGUGUAAAUAAAUCUCAAAGGUUUCCUAAUCCAGACAGCUAUCUGUUGUGAAGUGCAGUGAGUCUUCAGAAGGGAAUCUGGGGGCUUGAGAGAGGGCUCAGUUGGUCAAGUCCUUACUGAGUAGGCCUAAGGAUUCCAACUAGGACUCCCCUGCACCCCUACAAAGAGCUGACAUCGAUGUGCUUGCCAUUACAGAUGUGCCCCUGGGCUAGUAUCCCUAUCCAGUUUCUUGAGUCAGAGAACUUCAGAUUCAGUGAGAGAUCUUGCCUCAAAAGUUACAGUGGAGAACACUCAAGGAAGAUGGCACACACACAUACACACACACACAUACACACACAAACUAAAUAGUAAAUAGGGCAAAAUAGAGUCUCAUAUUUACCCCUACAAAUUGUAGACUUCUAAAAACAUGCCUUCACACUCCUUGCAACAGGAAACAGUUGGUAGGAAUGUCUGAGAGUUAUUCUCAGGUGUAUUUUAGCCCAGUUGGUCACAGAUGCAAUCCCCCCCACAUCCAAGCACUGUGUAGUAAUAGUCUCAUGGGGAGUGGCAGUUUCAGCUUCUCUCUCUUUCCUGUGUUUCCUUGUCAUUUAAUUAAAAAACAAAACUGGAAUUUUUUCCCUUUUCACC